UAAUGUUUAUUUUCUUAUUGGUGCUGGUUUUACUGCACUUUAUAUACACCUGUAGUGUCAGAUAUGUGUACCAUAUACUGCAGAUCAGUGGCGGCUGGUGGUGAAAUGUGUUGGGUGGGCUAACAAAUACAUAAUACCAAUUAAAUGGUUAACACAGCUGCAAAAGCAACAUCACCUAUGAUACACACAAUUACAUCAAUUACAGGUACACUAUACAUGUUUAGUGCUCUACAUCAACACUCUCACUCACACAUACACAUGCACCGUGUUGUUGCUACCCAGUGGGGACGAGAUUUUGGCGUUUUCUGGAAAGUUGUUGCUUUAUUCAUUUUCAAAAUCUUAAAACCUUUAUUUUUCUGAAAGUUCUGAAAAACAGCAAAGAUUAAACCUGUGACUUUUGUUUCUGCUUGUAGCCAACGCUAUGUACAUGGAGGGUCAGGAGAUGAGGAAAGUUCUGGAAAGAGACAACAUAACUGUCAAGAAAAAUCUGGACAAGAUCAUUUUUUAUUACAGAGCUACAGACCACUGGUGCCCUGUUCAGUACUAUCACGACAUCAAACGGGACUUCCCUCAUGGAGACUUGAGACUGUGUGAGAACGGCUUCCGCCACGCCUUCGUCUUGGAUGCAGGACGAGAUGUCGCCUAAAUGGUGUUUAAAUGGAUCAGAGGAGAUCUGACUACAUGAGCUCAUUCUUCUGUUGGCAUUUCUUCCACUGAACACUGAUGACCACAACCUGUGAUGACCAAAACCUACGAGCAGAGAUGUUUUAACUGGACUGAAGAGAGAUGGAUUGGAAAUAUUUUAAAUAUUAAUUUAUAUAGGCUACCUCCCUGCCAUACCCUCUUUCCCAUCCAGUCUGAUGCCACAUUUUAGAUGAUUUAUGCUGUCUUUUAUCAGCCAGUGUGUUCAGUCCCAGCAUGGAGCUCGUAUGUCGUUUCUGUCUGUCACAAUACUCUCCUGUCUCACAGACUGGACCGUCUGGUUUUUGGUAACAAUACUGUAGUUUUAAGUGCAUUCUUGUGAAACUACAAAGGUAAAGAUGUUUUUUUCACCUAAGAGAUAAAUUAGUUUAUUGUUGUAUGAUCCUAAAUAUUUAAUGGAGUGUUUUUACACAGAAAGCUCUGGUGGCUGUCAUUUUUACAACUUGUUUAUCCACUGAUGGUAUUGUUUUAUGUCACAUUGAGGUUGCCUUCCUCUCCUGACCCUUACAGGCCUCCUUACCACUGUGUUGAGAGUUCAGGAUGAACUUCAUUCUAACAAAUCAACUUGUACCUGCACUAACUAGGAGUUCAGCUGUGAACCAGAGCCUGUGUGGCGCUCAUGUUCGUAUCAGGACAGCAUUGUUCUGAAAACCAGUUUGACAUCAUUGUUUAUUUAGAGUUUAUGUCAGGAUUCUGCCUCUAUUACUGCCUUUUUGUUCCUUUUCCUGUUUUUUCAUCCUGUGUUGUCUGGUCUCUCUGUCUCCCUCUGUCUGCUGCUCCCUGCCUACUCUGCACCUGGCCUCUGAUUGUUGUCACUUGAUGCAAUCAAGCUCAGACUCGUUUCACCUGGUCCUCCCCUCUGUAUUUAAGCCCUGCCAUUUCUCUCAGUUGUUGCUGGCUCAUCAUAUUGGAUUCACUCUGCUUCAGACUCCGUUCCCGCUUUACCUCUGGAUUACACCUGUUUACUGGACAACUCUGCUUUCCCCCCAUUUAUGGAUUAUACCUUUUGGACUUUGUAGUUUUUGAUUUGGACUCAGUUUGUUUCCACCUUCAGUCAUAGUUCCUGUGUGUGAGUAUCAUUUCCUCAGCCCUCUUGUUUGUCACCGUUUUGUUUAUUGUAGCCACUUCAGUCUCGUUUUCAGUUAGUAGUUGUUUUGAUUAAAUAAACUUUUUUUUUUAUUUUUUUUUUUACCAGAA